CGCCGCCUCUACCGCCGCGGCCGCUUCUCUGUUACCCGGGAAAUCCCGCCCACUCCCCCGGCCCGCCCCGCAGAGGGAAGACUCAACUUCGCUCCACCACAGGCCGCAUUAUCCGCCCGUCAAAGACUUAACCAAUCCCAGCACCCUGCUUGCCGGCUGCCCGCCCCUUCCCCCUCUGCUGGGUGGGGGGGGGAGCCGCUCACCUUCUCCACGCCCCUAUUGGCGGGGAGCUUCCCUAACUCAACCCCGCCUAUUGGAGACGAAUUGCUGAAUCCCACCCCCAAGCCUCAACACUAUUGGAGGAAGCAGGGGAGCUCUUCACGUCUCAUUGGAGGACUCCACACAUCCCGCCCCGUGCGGGCUCAGCCACAGGCCCAACAAGUCGGCUCCCGCCCUCGCCGGUCAUCGCAUUGGAAGGCUACCCCUCGCUCUCUCGCUGCCCCAGGAAGAGACUGAAGUGCAGAGAGUUCCAGGGCCCGAAACCGGAGGGGGCGCGGAGCUCAGCGGCCGGGAUCCCAUGCCCUGGGACUUGAAAGGGAGAGGCAGCAGCACUACCACCGUGGAGGACCCCCUUACCAAAAAAAAAAAAAAAAAAAGAGAGAGAGAGAGAAAGAAAGAACCUCAUCGUAUCGAAUUCUUUCUUUACAAUUUACAUUUCCGCACGCUGCCUCCUGGUAAACACAAAUAUCCGGAGCAACCGGAUCCGUACAGCUUUCAGUUAGUACAGAAUUAAGCGCUGGAGACCAAAGCCAAAAAAUCGCCCCAGUGGUUGCCAGCCCGCAGUUGGGGUGGCUGCACACUUCUAACACCGACAAUCCCUAAACUUCAGUAUGCAGUUCUAAGAGGGCGGGGAUAAUCAAAAUGAAGGCAGGGCCCUAA